UGGGGUGAUCCGCGCAAUUGGAGGUGGUGAACCGUGUCAGGUCCGAAAGGAAGCAGCACUAAGUCGCCAAAGAUGUGCGCGGAUCACUUUAGCC
rnacentral:SRP_RNA from 2 species